rnacentral:rRNA from 1 species
AUUGAACGCUGGCGGCAGGCUUAACACAUGCAAGUCGAGCGGAGAUGAGGUGCUUGCACCUUAUCUUAGCGGCGGACGGGUGAGUAAUGCUUAGGAAUCUGCCUAUUAGUGGGGGACAACAUUCCGAAAGGAAUGCUAAUACCGCAUACGUCCUACGGGAGAAAGCAGGGGAUCUUCGGACCUUGCGCUAAUAGAUGAGCCUAAGUCGGAUUAGCUAGGUGGUGGGGUAAAGGCCUACCAAGGCGACGAUCUGUAGCGGGUCUGAGAGGAUGAUCCGCCACACUGGGACUGGAACACGGCCCAGACUCCUACGGGAGGCAGCAGUGGGGAAUAUUGGACAAUGGGGGAAACCCUGAUCCAGCCAUGCCGCGUGUGUGAAGAAGGCCUUAUGGUUGUAAAGCACUUUAAGCGAGGAGGAGGCUACUGAGACUAAUACUCUUGGAUAGUGGACGUUACUCGCAGAAUAAGCACCGGCUAACUCUGUGCCAGCCGCCGCCGUAA